rnacentral:rRNA from 1 species
CGUUAGCGGCGGACGGGUGAGUAACACGUGGAUAACCUACCUAUAAGACUGGGAUAACUUCGGGAAACCGGAGCUAAUACCGGAUAACAUAUUGAACCGCAUGGUUCAAUAGUGAAAGACGGUUUUGCUGUCACUUAUAGAUGGAUCCGCGCCGCAUUAGCUAGUUGGUAAGGUAACGGCUUACCAAGGCAACGAUGCGUAGCCGACCUGAGAGGGUGAUCGGCCACACUGGAACUGAGACACGGUCCAGACUCCUACGGGAGGCAGCAGUAGGGAAUCUUCCGCAAUGGGCGAAAGCCUGACGGAGCAACGCCGCGUGAGUGAUGAAGGUCUUCGGAUCGUAAAACUCUGUUAUUAGGGAAGAACAAAUGUGUAAGUAACUAUGCACGUCUUGACGGUACCUAAUCAGAAAGCCACGGCUAACUACGUGCCAGCAGCCGCGGUAAUACGUAGGUGGCAAGCGUUAUCCGGAAUUAUUGGGCGUAAAGCGCGCGUAGGCGGUUUUUUAAGUCUGAUGUGAAAGCCCACGGCUCAACCGUGGAGGGUCAUUGGAAACUGGAAAACUUGAGUGCAGAAAAGGAAAGUGGAAUUCCAUGUGUAGCGGUGAAAUGCGCAGAGAUAUGGAGGAACACCAGUGGCGAAAGCGACUUUCUGGUCUGUAACUGACGCUGAUGUGCGAAAGCGUGGGGAUCAAACAGGAUUAGAUACCCUGGUAGUCCACGCCGUAAACGAUGAGUGCUAAGUGUUAG